UACGUAGGUGACAAGCGUUGUCCGGAUUUACUGGGCGUAAAGAGCGCGCAGGCGGUCGAUCAAGUCGAGUGUGAAAGCCCCCGGCUCAACCUGGGAACUGCAUUUGGGACUGCAAGGCUGGAGUACGGCAGAGGGAGGUGGAAUUCCACGUGUAGCAGUGAAAUGCGUAGAGAUGUGGAGGAACACCGAUGGCGAAGGCAGCCUCCUGGGCUAGUACUGACGCUCAUGCACGAAAGCGUGGGGAGCAAACAGG
rnacentral:rRNA from 1 species